AAUAGAGAGAGUACAUCACAUAAAAUACCUUGUGACUUCUAAUUGAAACACAGAAUUCUGUUUUUAAACCUCCAAGCAUCCAUCCAAGGAUGAUACCCAAAAGGCAAAGAUUUGAUUGAUAAGCAACCACUAGAAGUAAAAUUUACAAAGAUAAUUGAUCUAAUAGAAGAUAUAAAAAAAACCAAUGAGCUUUAACCUAAUGGUACUGGAGUAGCCUCUAGGGUUAUAAGUUUCGAAUUCGAGCCCUGGUUGGAACCAUUUGUACCAAAAAAAAAGACAAAAAAAAGUUUUAAUUCUCCUAACAUAAAAAAUUACUAAUUUAUUAUAAUAUAAUGAAAAAUGGUAUGUGUCACCAUGUGGCGGUAAAGGUAUGAGUCUGAGUCUGAGUUUACCA
rnacentral:misc_RNA from 1 species